GAAGUACUCCCUCCAUCUUGAAUUACUUGUCGUAGAAACGGAUAAAAAUGAAUGUAUCUAGAACUAAAAUACGUCUAGAUACACCCAUUCCCGUGACAAGUAAUUCUUGAUGGAGGGAGUAUAUG
rfam:Hordeum vulgare subsp. vulgare, WGS project CAJW01000000 data, contig: morex_contig_1576725